GAGUGCUUCUGGCAUCCUCAACACGGAUAAGGGCGCCCUGCUCAUGGAGCAGUGCUUCAAGCGCAUAAAUAGCCUGGCUAAGAGUCCGAAGCUGCCGUUGCGCAUACUCUUUAUGCUCCGCGACGUCAUGGAGCUCUGGAGGGACCGCGGAGUGUAGCGCGACAGAGGGCCCCAUCAACCAGAUCCGCAAUGACAACGACGAGCACUCGAGCCCCGGCGGGUCGCUUGGCGGUGGACCCUGCGGCUACGACUACGGCCGCAAUUGCGGCGAACCUGACGACGAGCCGAGCUCCUGGGCCCUGAUAAACGCUCGGGCUCCUGGCUUACGGCAUUCUUUCGAGCAAUUGCUCUGAUUUGCACUGGAGCUCCGGACCUUUAGCUCCAAUGGCUUCUACAACAUCAACCAGCGCAAUCAGCCUUCCCUCUUUACCCCAACCAGAAAUAGCCAGUAGAACAAUUUCUUGGCCAAGCAUAACCAGCAGCAGCACAACUCACCCCAGAACUGCAAUAUAUUUCUUUUGAUUAGAGGCAGCAUUCAAGUCAAGCGAAAAUUGACAAGGUGUUUCUUCUCUCAAUUCAAGAACAACGUAUGCAGACUCUUGAUAAGGAAUUCAAAGCUCUGGAAGACGAAUGCAGGAAAGUGAUGAGGAGGUCAAGGUCUUUCAAGACUUGAACUAACAAUUCAAAGAGGAAUGUCGAGUUGCUAUUGCUGACAGCAAUUAUAUAAGAUAUUGAAUGCAGGUGUGUGGGCGAGAGGUCGUCAAGGCUGAUCUCAUAACUUACCUGCGCUUCCCUAACUCAGAAGAUAUUCAGAUGGCGUCGUUACGCGACUGGAUCGCGAGCUUGAGGCCGCUUCAUGCAUUGGCGCCGAUUUUCGAAAAAUAAAUGAAGAUCGCGAUAUUAACCUGCCGGACGUGGAGCUCUGGGAGCUCAUCAACAUCGUGCUGCUGCAGAUGAUGAGCAUCACGGAUCGUUUGGCAUCAGAGCUGCCUGGGACAAUCAGCAUCAAAACGAGGGACAGGAGUUUUCAGCAGAUAUCUGCGAAAAUUAACCAGCGCUAUCACCGCAGUUUCAAUCGUCGUAUCACAGUUGGUGAUGUCGAAAUCGUCUGGGAUUAUUUGACCGCACAUCACAGCCGCAUCCGCGAGUAUUUGCGACUUGGAUACAUCCGGAAAGCUGACUUGGAUUCGAUUCACUGGGCCAUUUACAAAGACCUCCGCAGUAUGCCGAUGUUAAUUUAAGAAUGUGAUUUAAAAAGAACCUACACGCUAUGAGAGUUUUGUGGCAGGAAAAUCAAAAUGCGCAGCAGAUCGCAGAGGCAGUGAAUUGCUCAUUAGCCACCGCUUACAGGUAUGUGCAACGAUUCCAACAAGAAAUGGAUGGUAGAGAAAUAGUUCAAGAUCGACGAAACAACUCUGGCAGGCAUAACAAGAUAUCCGAUGAGGACCUUGUAUUGGUAAUGGCCGCAAUGCAGGAGGAUCCAUUUCGGGCCGUGAAACAUUUGCCAGAAUUAUUGAACCUAGACGUUCAUGAAGAAACGCUGAGAACAGCUAUAAAAAAGGACAAAUCUUACGUAUCGUAAAGCUGCAGUUAAAAUUCAUCUGAACCACCAGGAUGUCAUCGCUCGCCUGCAUUAUGCCAAUACUUAUUUGAAUAGGACUGAGGAGGAAUGGAGAAGAAUG